rnacentral:rRNA from 1 species
CCUACGGGAGGCAGCAGUGGGGGAUAUUGCACAAUGGGGGGAACCCUGAUGCAGCGACGCCGCGUGAGCGAAGAAGUACCUCGGUAUGUAAAGCUCUAUCAGCAGGGAAGAAAAUGACGGUACCUGACUAAGAAGCCCCGGCUAAAUACGUGCCAGCAGCCGCGGUAAUACGUAUGGGGCAAGCGUUAUCCGGAUUUACUGGGUGUAAAGGGAGCGCAGGCGGCCUGCCAAGUCUGGUGUGAAAACCCGGGGCCCAACCCCGGGCCUGCAUUGGAAACUGGCGGGCUGGAGUGUCGGAGGGGCAGGCGGAAUUCCUAGUGUAGCGGUGAAAUGCGUAGAUAUUAGGAGGAACACCGGUGGCGAAGGCGGCCUGCUGGACGAUGACUGACGCUGAGGCUCGAAAGCGUGGGGAGCAAACAGGAUUAGAUACCCUUGUAGUC